rnacentral:ncRNA from 2 species
CCUUUAUCCAGAGCGGUGCAGGGAACUGGCCCGAUAACCACCGCAGCAACCGGCCCUCAUUACGGCCACGGUGCUCCGCCAGCCCGCGUGAAUCACGAUGUGAAGCGACGGGAACGAUAAGGG